GAUGAAGAACGCAGCGAAAUGCGAUAAGUAAUGUGAAUUGCAGAAUUCAGUGAAUCAUCGAAUCUUUGAACGCACCUUGCGCUCCUUGGUAUUCCGAGGAGCAUGCCUGUUUGAGUGUCAUUGCUGCCCUCAAGCACGGCUUGUGUGUUGGGCCUCCGUCCUCCUCCCGGGGGACGGGCCCGAAAGGCAGCGGCGGCACCGCGUCCGGUCCUCGAGCGUAUGGGGCUUCGUCACCCGCUCUUGUAGGCCCGGCCGGCGCUUGCCGACACAUCAAUCUUUUUUCCAGGUUGACCUCGGAUCAGGUAGGGAUACCCGCUGAACUUAAGCAUAUCAAUAAGCGGAGGA
rnacentral:misc_RNA from 1 species